UUUUCUUUGAACUUGCUUUGGCGGUGGGCCCAGCCUGCCGCCAGAGGUCUAAACUUACAACCAAUUUUUUAUCAACUUGUCACACCAGAUUAUUACUAAUAGUCAAAACUUUCAACAACGGAUCUCUUGGUUCUCGCAUCGAUGAAGAACGCAGCGAAAUGCGAUACGUAAUAUGAAUUGCAGAUAUUCGUGAAUCAUCGAAUCUUUGAACGCACAUUGCGCCCUCUGGUAUUCCGGAGGGCAUGCCUGUUUGAGCGUCGUUUCUCCCUCAAACCGCUGGGUUUGGUGUUGAGCAAUACGACUUGGGUUUGCUUGAAAGACGGUAGUGGUAAGGCGGGAUCGCUUUGACAAUGGCUUAGGUCUAACCAAAAACAUUGCUUGCGGCGGUAACGUCUACC
rnacentral:rRNA from 1 species